rnacentral:rRNA from 1 species
GACGAACGCUGGCGGCGUGCUUAAAAACAUGCAAGUCGAACGGACUUCUCAUGAAGCUUGCGAUUGAGAAGUUAGUGGCGGACGGGUGAGUAACGCGUGGGCAACCUGCCCCUGAGCCCGGGAUAACAGUUCGAAAGGACUGCUAAGACCGGAUAUACUUGCGGGGAAGCAUUUCUCUGUAAGGAAAGGGAACGCUCAGGGAUGGGCCCGCGUCCCAUUAGCUAGUUGGUGAGGUAACGGCCCACCAAGGCGACGAUGGGUAGCCGGCCUGAGAGGGUGAACGGCCACACUGGGACUGAGACACGGCCCAGACUCCUACGGGAGGCAGCAGUUGGGAAUCUUCGGCAAUGGGCGCAAGCCUGACCGAGCAACGCCGCGUGAGUGAUGAAGGUUUUCGGAUUGUAAAGCUCUGUCUUCCGGGACGAUAAUGACGGUACCGGAGGAGGAAGCCACGGCUAACUACGUG